AGAGUUUGAUCCUGGCUCAGAAUCAACGCUGGCGGCGUGCCUCAGACAUGCAAGUCGAACGAUUAAACUCGUCUUCGGACGAGAUAUAAAGUGGCGCACGGGUGAGUAACACGUAGGUAAUCUACCUUUGAGUGGGGAAUAACUUAGGGAAACUUAAGCUAAUACCGCAUAAUGCAGCGGCACCUUCGGGUGACAGUUGUUAAAGGAGCAAUCCGCUUAAAGAGGAGCCUGCGGCAGAUUAGCUAGUUGGUAAGGUAAUGGCUUACCAAGGCGACGAUCUGUAACCGACCUGAGAGGGUGGUCGGUCACACUGACACUGAAUAACGGGUCAGACUCCUACGGGAGGCAGCAGUCGGGAAUUUUGGGCAAUGGGCGAAAGCCUGACCCAGCAACGCCGCGUGAAGGAUGAAGUAUUUCGGUAUGUAAACUUCGAAAGAAUGGGAAGAAUAAAUGACGGUACCAUUUAUAAGGUCCGGCUAACUACGUGCCAGCAGCCGCGGUAAUACGUAGGGACCAAGCGUUGUUCGGAUUUACUGGGCGUAAAGGGCGCGUAGGCGGCGUGUUAAGUCAGCUGUGAAAUCUCCGAGCUUAACUCGGAACGGUCAGCUGAUACUGAUGUGCUAGAGUGCAGAAGGGGCAAUCGGAAUUCUUGGUGUAGCGGUGAAAUGCGUAGAUAUCAAGAGGAACACCUGAGGUGAAGACGGGUUGCUGGGCUGACACUGACGCUGAGGCGCGAAAGCUAGGGUAGCAAACGGGAUUAGAUACCCCCGUAGUCC
rnacentral:rRNA from 1 species